rnacentral:rRNA from 1 species
UGCGUCAGGAUGAACGCUGGCGGCGUGCCUAACACAUGCAAGUCGAACGGGGAGUAUAAUUGGGAAUGAGGAUUCGUCUGAAGGAAAAUGUAUCUUAGUGGCGGACGGGUGAGUAACGCGUGGGCAACCUACCGUAUACAGGGGGAUAACACUUAGAAAUAGGGUGCUAAUACCGCAUAAGCGCACAGCAGUGCAUACUGGAGUGUGAAAAGCCGAGACGGUAUACGAUGGGCCCGCGUCUGAUUAGCCAGUUGGCAGGGUAACGGCCUACCAAAGCGACGAUCAGUAGCCGGCCUGAGAGGGCGGACGGCCACAUUGGGACUGAGACACGGCCCAGACUCCUACGGGAGGCAGCAGUGGGGGAUAUUGCACAAUGGGGGGAACCCUGAUGCAGCGACGCCGCGUGAGUGAAGAAGUAAUUCGUUAUGUAAAGCUCUAUCAGCAGGGAAGAAUAAAUGACGGUACCUGAGUAAGAAGCCCCGGCCAACUACGUG